rnacentral:rRNA from 1 species
AGUCCCGCAACGAGGGGCAACCCUUGUCCUGUGUUGCCAGCGCGUAAUGGCGGGAACUCAUGGGAGACUGCCGGUGAUAAACCGGAGGAAGGUGGGGACGACGUCAAGUCAUCAUGGCCCUUACGGGUAGGGAUACACACGUGCUACAAUGGUCAGUACAAAGGGUUGCCAACUCGCGAGAGUGAGCCAAUCCCAUAAAGCUGGUUGUAGUCCGGAUGGAGUCUGCAACUCGACUCCAGGAAGUCGGAAUCGCUAGUAAUCGUGAUCAGAAUGCCACGGUGAAUACGUUCCCGGG